CGUCAAUAUCACCAAAUUUAAGCAACAUUGAGCCUAGUCAGUACCUAGAUGGGUGACCACCUGGGAAGACCAGGUGUUGUAAG